rnacentral:rRNA from 2 species
UCGAACGAAUGACUUUGGAGCUUGCUUCAAAGUCGUUAGUGGCAAACGGGUGAGUAACACGUGGGAAUCUACCUAUCAGUACGGAAUAACAUUUGGAAACAGAUGCUAAUACCGUAUAUUCUCUUCGGAGGAAAGAUUUAUCGCUGAUAGAUGAGCCCGCGUAAGAUUAGGUAGUUGGUAGGGUAAUGGCCUACCAAGCCGACGAUCUUUAGCUGAUCUGAGAGGAUGAUCAGCCACACUGGGACUGAGACACGGCCCAGACUCC